GCUGGACAUGAUGGCGCAUGUCUGUAAUCCCAGAAAUUUGGAGGCUGAGGCAGGAGGAUCCCAAGCUUGAGGCCUGUAUGGACAACUUAGUGAUACCCUGGUUCAA
rnacentral:sRNA from 1 species